rnacentral:rRNA from 1 species
AACGAACGCUGGCGGCAGGCUUAACACAUGCAAGUCGAACGCCCCGCAAGGGGAGUGGCAGACGGGUGAGUAACGCGUGGGAAUCUACCCAGAUCUACGGAACAACAGUUGGAAACGACUGCUAAUAGCGUAUACGCCCUACGGGGGAAAGAUUUAUCGGAUUUGGAUGAGCCCGCGUUGGAUUAGCUAGUUGGUGGGGUACUGGCCUACCAAGGCGACGAUCCAUAGCUGGUCUGAGAGGAUGCUCAGCCACACUGGGACUGAGACACGGCCCAGACUCCUACGGGAGGCAGCAGUGGGGAAUAUUGGACAAUGGGCGCAAGCCUGAUCCAGCCAUGCCGCGUGAGUGAUGAAGGCCUUAGGGUUGUAAAGCUCUUUCACCGAUGAAGAUAAUGACGGUAGUCGGAGAAGAAGCCCCGGCUAACUUCGUGCCAGCCGCCGCGGUAAAAC